rnacentral:rRNA from 1 species
GACAGAGGUGCCGAGCGUUAGGCGGAAUCACUGGGCUUAAAGCGUGUGUAGGCGGGCCGUUAAGUAUCUUGUGAAAUCCCCCGGCUCAACCGGGGAAUGGCUGGAUAUACUGGCGGUCUUGAGCAAUUCAGGGGCAGAUGGAACAGACGGUGGAGCGGUGAAAUGUGUUGAUAUCAUCAGGAACUCCGGUGGCGAAAGCGGCGUGCUGGACCUUUACUGACGCUGAGGCGCGAAAGCCAGGGGAGCAAACGGG